UGCAUGACAUCCUGUCCACAGACAACAACAACCUGGGCCUACAGAGCCUGCAGGACCAACAGCAGGUCCGCAAGCUUGCUCUUACCUUUGGAAACUUGCCACCCAUGGUGUUGGAGCCCAUGGUAGUCCGCUGUAAGACCACAACUGGUGAC